GAUGAAGAACGUAGCGAAAUGCGAUAAGUAAUGUGAAUUGCAGAAUUCAGUGAAUCAUCGAAUCUUUGAACGCACAUUGCGCCCCCUGGUAUUCCGGGGGGCAUGCCUGUCCGAGCGUCAUUACAACCCUCAAGCUCAGCUUGGUAUUGGGCCCCGCCGACCCGGCGGGCCCUAAAGUCAGUGGCGGUGCCGUCCGGCUCCGAGCGUAGUAAUUCUUCUCGCUCUGGAGGUCCGGUCGUGUGCUCGCCAGCAACCCCCAAUUUUUUUCAGGUUGACCUCGGAUCAGGUAGGGAUACCCGCUGAACUUAAGCAUAACAAUAAGCGGAGGA
rnacentral:misc_RNA from 1 species